UCUUCGGAACUAGAGACCGGCGCACGGGUGCGUAACGCGUAUGCAAUCUACCUUUUACAGAGGGAUAGCCCAGAGAAAUUUGGAUUAAUACCUCAUAGUAUAAUGACUUGGCAUCAAGACAUUAUUAAAGUCACAACGGUAAAAGAUGAGCAUGCGUCCCAUUAGCUAGUUGGUAAGGUAACGGCUUACCAAGGCUACGAUGGGUAGGGGUCCUGAGAGGGAGAUCCCCCACACUGGUACUGAGACACGGACCAGACUCCUACGGGAGGCAGCAGUGAGGAAUAUUGGACAAUGGGCGCAAGCCUGAUCCAGCCAUGCCGCGUGCAGGAUGACGGUCCUAUGGAUUGUAAACUGCUUUUAUACGAGAAGAAACACUACUUCGUGAAGUAGCUUGACGGUAUCGUAAGAAUAAGGAUCGGCUAACUCCGUGCCAGCAGCCGCGGUAAUACGGAGGAUCCAAGCGUUAUCCGGAAUCAUUGGGUUUAAAGGGUCCGUAGGCGGUUUAGUAAGUCAGUGGUGAAAGCCCAUCGCUCAACGGUGGAACGGCCAUUGAUACUGCUG
rnacentral:rRNA from 1 species